rnacentral:hammerhead_ribozyme from 1 species
AAACUGCUGAGGAGUCCCACAAUAGGACGAAACGGCCGUUCAAUGC